GCCCUUGAGGCGUGGCUUCCGGAGCUAACGCGUUAAGUCGACCGCCUGGGGAGUACGGCCGCAAGGUUAAAACUCAAAUGAAUUGACGGGGGCCCGCACAAGCGGUGGAGCAUGUGGUUUAAUUCGAUGCAACGCGAAGAACCUUACCUGGCCUUGACAUCCACGGAAUUCGGCAGAGAUGCCUUAGUGCCUUCGGGAACCGUGAGACAGGUGCUGCAUGGCUGUCGUCAGCUCGUGUUGUGAAAUGUUGGGUUAAGUCCCGCAACGAGCGCAACCCUUAUCCUUUGUUGCCAGCGAGUAAUGUCGGGAACUCAAAGGAGACUGCCGGUGACAAACCGGAGGAAGGUGGGGAUGACGUCAAGUCAUCAUGGCCCUUACGGCCAGGGCUACACACGUGCUACAAUGGCGCAUACAAAGAGAAGCGAACUCGCGAGAGCAAGCGGACCUCACAAAGUGCGUCGUAGUCCGGAUCGGAGUCUGCAACUCGACUCCGUGAAGUCGGAAUCGCUAGUAAUCGUAGAUCAGAAUGCUACGGUGAAUACGUUCCCGGGCCU
rnacentral:rRNA from 1 species